UACGUAGGUGGCAAGCGUUGUCCGGAUUUACUGGGCGUAAAGAGCGCGCAGGCGGUCGUUCAAGUCGAGUGUGAAAGCCCCCGGCUCAACUGGGGAGGGUCACUCGAUACUGAUCGACUCGAAGGCAGAAGAGGGAAGCGGAAUUCCCGGUGUAGUGGUGAAAUGCGUAGAUAUCGGGAGGAACACCAGUGGCGAAGGCGGCUUCUGGCCUGUUCUUGACGCUGAGGCGCGAAGGCCAGGGAGCAAACGGGG
rnacentral:rRNA from 1 species